AGCUGCACCUGCACCAGUUAGUCAGCAGAAACAAAUUACAAGGUCCCUACAGGGUUCCCAGGUAUACCAAGAGAAGUUCAAUCCAGACAGUCUGCAAAUGCUGUUUAUUAAGACGUGCAAAAUUAACAUCUGUUCUCAACUGCUUUUCUUUUCACAGGAACACAGAUAGGCCUUAGGCGGGAACCAGAUGCUUCAGGUAUCUUGGCUUAUUGAUUACUAACUACAUCAUCCAUGCAGUUGGGAGAGGACCUUAUCUUCAAAACUUGUUGCUUUCUCUCCAAUUCAGUCUCUUGCUCCCAAUUGUAGUGACAGAACACAUUAUCCACACUGCACUUCAGACUGCUCUUAGCUUGCAUAUUAACAGACACAUAGACAUGAUGAAGCCCUG
rnacentral:lncRNA from 1 species